UACGGAGGGUGCGAGCGUUAUCCGGAAUCACUGGGCGUAAAGGGCGCGUAGGCGGCAUGCCAAGCGUGUGGUGAAAGCCCGGGGCUCAACCCCGGGUCGGCCGUGCGGACUGGCGUGCUCGAGCACUGUAGGGGCGGGUGGAAUUCCGGGUGUAGCGGUGGAAUGCGUAGAGAUCCGGAAGAACACCGGUGGCGAAGGCGGCCCGCUGGGCAGGAAGGCUCGCAAGAGCCGGCUGACGCUGAGGCGCGACAGCGUGGGGAGCAAACAGG
rnacentral:rRNA from 1 species